UCCCUCCAUAUCCGAUCGUCUCCCUUUCUCCCUUUCUCCAUUUCUCUCUCGUUUGCUCUCUGCUAGCCCCGAAUGGAUACUCACCGAUUGUCACUGCCGUUCAAGCACGGGACCAGGAAGACCAGACACCGCCGAAACUCCAUCCCCGCGAGCCUUCGUCGUUGUUCUUCCCGCGAGCAGAAGCCUCCAAGACGAACAAAGCCCAACCAAGGAUUGGGCUUUCAAGUGAUAGGAGGAGACGAAAUGAGCUCGCCGACGUUCCAUGGGUUUUCGAGGCUGUUUGACCUUGAUUCACCAUCCACGAUGAACGGAGAGCCUCCCCACCACGAUGAACGACGUCCAUGGCAAGAGCACUCAUGCCUCCAUUUAUCUUUUUCUACCAGUACCAGGUUGUGGGAAGGGCUCUCCCUACCGAGUCUGAUGAAGCUUUGGGCCACCAAUGAGGUCCGCGCCAAGUCCAAGUUCUGGUCAAACAGAUAUAAAUAUUGUGGUGCUAUCUUAUUAAAGCUUGUGACUCUGAUAUCAUUGUGGUCUCCAACAAGGAGUUUGAGAAUAAAAUGAGCAGAUGGGGAAAAAUGCUACCAUAUCUAAUUUAAUCCAGUGGGCUAUUAAGCCAUAGGGAAGAUGUCCAACUACAAGCAGAGAAAGUGUGUUUUGAGUUUACAAGACUUGCCACAGAAAAAGUGCGACAGACCAAAACUAGUGGCGAUUGUGGGGUAUAUGUCAUCAAACAUCUGGAGUACUUGCUAGCCAAAAAACUGUUAUCCGAAGUAAAUGACAACAACAUGGAUUUCUUUAGAAAAAAGACUUGUUUAGAUUUGUUUUACCAUAACUUACAACCAUAGUUGUCUUUUACUUAAAUAUAUGUAUCUUAUUUUUGAAUGUAUGAAGAAACUAUGUCAACUUCAUCUCAUUAAAUGGUAUUGAAUGACUUCGUUUAUUUCAUCUUAAUAGUGGAAUAAAUCUUUGUCACUUUUAUCUUA